GUCCACGCCGUAAACGAUGGAUACUAGCUGUUGGGGCAACUUCAGUUGCUAAGCGAAAGUGAUAAGUAUCCCACCUGGGGAGUACGUUCGCAAGAAUGAAACUCAAAGGAAUUGACGGGGCCCGCACAAGCGGUGGAGCAUGUGGUUUAAUUCGAUGAUACGCGAGGAACCUUACCAAGGCUUAAAUGUAGAUUGACCGGUUUUGGAAACAGACUUUUUCGCAAGACAAUUUACAAGGUGCUGCAUGGUUGUCGU
rnacentral:rRNA from 1 species